rnacentral:rRNA from 1 species
GGAUGCGGCGGUCACUUAAAGAUGCGCUCGACGGACCUGGGCUUCGGCUCAGUUUAGUGGCAAACGGGUGCAUAACGCGUAAGCAACCUGCCUCAAACAGGGGGAUAGCCCGGCGAAAGCGGGGGUAAGCCCCCAUGGUCCCAAUCCCUUUCCUGGGGGGCUGGGUAAACCGCAAGGGGUUUGAGAGGGGCUUGCGUCUGAUUAGGUAGUUGGUGGGGUAAGGGCCCACCAAGCCGAUGAUCAGUAGGGGUUCUGAGAGGAUUGGCCCCCACAUGGGUACUGAGAGACGGACCCAACUCCUACGGGAGGCAGCAGUAGGGAAUAUUGGGCAAUGGAGGCAACUCUGACCCAGCCAUGCCGCGUGAAGGAUGACGGCGCUCAGCGUUGUAAACUUCUUUUAGCUGGGAAGAACGGCAGGAUCGCGGUCCUGUGUGACGGUACCAGCGGAAUCAGCACCGGCUAACUCCGUGCCAGCAGCCGCGGUAAUACGGAGGGUGCAAGCGUUGUCCGGAUUUAUUGGGUUUAAAGGGUGCGUAGGUGGCCCGCUAAGUCUGGUUUGAAAGCCGGCGGCUCAACCGUCGGAUGUGGCUGGAAACUGGUGGGCUUGAAUUCUUUGGCGGUAGCCGGAACGGGUCAUGUAGCGGUGAAAU